AUAGGUGUAUAGGUUAAAUGUGCAUAAUAUCAGAGAGAACAUUUUCUCUCUUAUAAAGCGUAGCAAUAGAUCUACAUAUAAGACAAGAUUUUUCGCGGAUAUUCGAAAAGCACGGAAUUUUUAAAAGUGUCAUAAAGUGCGCUUAUACUUGUGUUACUUUGUGCACUUGCAAUUGUUCUUUUAAUUGGAUUUAUCAGUAAGACUAUAUAAUCUCCAUUAAAGAAAAAAACAUUUAAAUUGUAAAAACACCAAGUAGUUGAGUUCGGGUUGAAUUCUGGUUUUCACAAAAAAUUUCCCAAAAAAUUAAUCCACUCAAAUUAAUUAACUUCGAUUUUGAUAAGACCAAGCUUAGACCAUAUCUACUCUAAGCAUCCAGGAAUGUCAAAGCAUUCAGCCCAAGAUAUUAUAAAUAGUAAAGUAAACCUUAUCUCAAAAAGGCAUUAUAAACUUUUAUUUAAACGAAUUAAAUUAUUUUUACUUCUCGACCAAAUCCAAAUCCAAAAAUUGGUAACUUUGAGGACUCAUGACUCGUAAAAAAUUUCCAAAUUAGAAUGUUUGUGAAACGAUACCGUGUAGGUCAAGAUGAUAAUAAUAUUUACUGAUGCCCACAGGUGCUGACAAGCAAGAUAUUACAUAUAUGAAAAUGACAAUAUAAGAUAGAGGAUGCCAAUAAAGUUGCAAGAGUGAUAACUAAAGCCUUGGAAAUACACAUUCCUUUUGAAAUAAAUCAAGUAAAUUCUUAGUAGUAGGAAGAUUUCACAUAACAUAUACUAGUGUAUAAAAAUCUUACGAUUCUUAAAAUGUAUCCUGGUAGUAUAAGUAGUGGCAAUGAAGAUGGACAGAGGCUGAGGAAUUAUGAGUUAUUUUCUAUUAUAUGCAAAAAGUGCCACAAGAACAAAUUAUGAAAGACAUUAGAAUCUAUCUAAAGAAGGGUGCAGAUAUAAAUGCUCUAAAUGUGGUAAGACAGCAUUAGAUUUAGCGGAUGGCAGCAAUACUGAUUCAUAUAUAUCUCAACAGCAUAGUGAUAUAAGUAGAACUAAAUCACAGCAGCAAAUGUGGCAGCCAAAUAAAUAUGGAUACUGCUGACAAUCAGGAAGUAGUGUUACCAUUACUACAAACCACUAAAUCUCUGCAUUUAAUUUUAAUACUUAACUAUUUCAUUUUAAAUGCAAAAUAACUUCAGUUUUGUAAAUCGUGGAACACCUGCUGGGUCUUUUCGGAGGGCCCCAUAAGGUCGAAAGGGGUGAGGUGGUCUCACAAUUAUAAUUAAUAAAUAAAUUUAUAAUUUCAAGACGUA